rnacentral:rRNA from 1 species
GUGGCGGACGGGUGAGUAACGCGUAAAGAACUUGCCUUACAGACUGGGACAACAUUUGGAAACGAAUGCUAAUACCGGAUAUUAUGACUGAGUCGCAUGAUUUGGUUAUGAAAGCUAUAUGCGCUGUGAGAGAGCUUUGCGUCCCAUUAGUUAGUUGGUGAGGUAACGGCUCACCAAGACGAUGAUGGGUAGCCGGCCUGAGAGGGUGAACGGCCACAAGGGGACUGAGACACGGCCCUUACUCCUACGGGAGGCAGCAGUGGGGAAUAUUGGACAAUGGACCAAAAGUCUGAUCCAGCAAUUCUGUGUGCACGAUGAAGUUUUUCGGAAUGUAAAGUGCUUUCAGUUGGGAAGAAGUCAGUGAACGGUACCAACAGAAGAAGCGACGGCUAAAUACGUGCCAGCAAGCCGCGGUAAAUACGUAUGUCGCCAAGCGUUAUCCCGGAUUUAUUUGGGCGUAAAGCGCGUCUAGGCGGUUUAGUAAGUCUGAUGUGAAAAUGCGGGGCUCAACCCCGUAUUGCGUUGGAAACUGCUAAACUAGAGUACUGGAGAGGUAGGCGGAACUACAAGUGUAGAGGUGAAAUUCGUAGAUAUUUGUAGGAAUGCCGAUGGGGAAGCCAGCCUACUGGACAGAUACUGACGCUAAAGCGCGAAAGCGUGGGUAGCAAACAGGAUUAGAUACCCUGGUAGUCCACGCCGUAAACGAUGAUUACUAGGUGUUGGGGGUCGAACCUCAGCGCCCAAGCUAACGCGAUAAGUAAUCCGCCUGGGGAGUACGUACGCAAGUAUGAAACUCAAAGGAAUUGACGGGGACCCGCACAAGCGGUGGAGCAUGUGGUUUAAUUCGACGCAACGCGAGGAACCUUACCAGCGUUUGACAUCCCAAGAAGUUAACAGAGAUGUUUUCGUGCCUCUUCGGAGGAACUUGGUGACAGGUGGUGCAUGGCUGUCGUCAGCUCGUGUCGUGAGAUGUUGGGUUAAGUCCCCCAACGAGCGCAACCCCCUUUCGUAUGUUACCAUCAUUAAGUUGGGGACUCAUGCGAGACUGCCUGCGAUGAGCAGGAGGAAGGUGGGGAUGACGUCAAGUCAUCAUGCCCCUUAUACGCUGGGCUACACACGUGCUACAAUGGGUAGUACAGAGAGCUGCAAACCUGCGAGGGUAAGCUAAUCUCAUAAAACUAUUCUUAGUUCGGAUUGUACUCUGCAACUCGAGUACAUGAAGUUGGAAUCGCUAGUAAUCGCAAAUCAGCUAUGUUGCGGUGAAUACGUUCUCGGGUCUUGUACACACCGCCCGUCACACCACGAGAGUUGGUUGCACCCUGAAGUAAACAGGCCUAACCGUAAGGAAGG